GAUCUCUGCAAACACCAAGUGGCGUCAGUAUAAAACUCACCUCACCAGGAAAUUCAUCCAUCCAAAUAGAAAUAAUCCGAAGCUUCUCAAUAAGGUACCUCAAGGACAUUGCAUUUCACGUGAAGAUUGGAGUAGUUUUGUGAUUAAUCGGAUGUCUGAAGACUUUAUAAGGAAAAGUGAACUACAAAGUCAGAGAAGCAAGGAAAACUUAUACCCUCAUCGUCUUUCUCGAAAAGGAUAUGCGGGUUUGUCUGAAGAAAUAUCUAGUGUUUUAUGUGAUGACGAAGAGAUAAACAGAGCCAUCCUCUGGAAGAAAGGGC